UUUUUUUUUUUAAUUUUUUUUUCAAUGUUUUUUAUUUAUUUUGGGACAGAGAGAGACAGAGCAUGAACGGGGGAGGGGCAGAGAGAGAGGGAGACACAGAAUCGGAAACAGGCUCCAGGCUCUGAGCCAUCAGCCCAGAGCCCGACGCGGGGCUCGAACUCACGGACCGCGAGAUCGUGACCUGGCUGAAGUCGGACGCUUAACCGACUGCGCCACCCAGGCGCCCCGAAGAGUAGAACUUUUUAGCAGAACUUUCAGGUUGUUACCAAGAGUUUCUUUCCUAGAUUAAGUUUUCUUUUUGGUAGAAUAGAAAUUUGUUUUCUUUGAUGAUAUCUGUAAGCUAGCAGUCAGGCUUAGUUUUAGUUAAGGACUGAAGAGUAAAAUAGGUGCAUAUGUAAAGAUUUUGUUGCUACAAAUGAUAUUUGAAGUAAGUAAUUCAUUCUGUUUAUUCAUACUCGCUGUAAAAUAAGAUAAUUUCACAAAAUCUAUAUCCAAGUAACAUUAUAUACAGUUUUUGUUUUCCUAAAGCUUCAGAGUUAGACCCCAAACUGCUAUUUCCUCUAAGGUUAGAUGGGUUCAUCAGAAUAAGAAUGGACUCCUAAAUUUGAGGAGCCUGAGUGGGAUUCCUUCUUCUGUGUGUGUGUGUGUGUGUGUGUGUGUGUGUGUGUUUAAUGUUUAUUUACUUUUUGAGACAAUGCAAGAGACAGAGUGCAAGCAGCAGAGGGGCAGACAGAGGGAGACACAGAAUCUGAAGGGCUCCAGGCUCUGAGCUGUCAGCCCAGAGCCUGACACGGGGCUCGAACUCACAAGCCACGAGAUCAUGACCUGAGCGGAAGUCAGACCCUUAACCGACUGAGCCACUCAGGUGCCCCUGGGAUUCCUUCUUUUGUAACCAUGAACAUUAUUUCAUUAGAACAGUGUCACUAAUAUUCACUAAUGACAACUUUUUCCUCUAAGGAUUUUCAUCUUAUUUCAAAAGUGAUUUUGAUUCUCCUUCUCCAAAGUAUAUUAGAGUAUUGUGGUGUAUUAAUUAAGGUUACUUUAUUUUCAUUGAAAUGAAUGAACUAUGCAGAAUGAAUUAGAAAAUGAGAAAUAGCAUUUUGAAGAUUUGGAUACAGUUUUUAGUAUUUUCCCUAAGUUUGCCUUUGCCUGAAAUUGUUUUUAAUAUUUAUCUAGGCUCUGAUUCUUAUAUAGGGUUACUUCUUAACUCAUUACCAAAAAAAAAAAAAAAAAAAAAAAUGUGUGUCUUUCGAAAAGAAAAAUAAAAUCAGCAAAGAGAAAGUAAGGUAAAAUACUUUUUUCCAGGGGGCAAAGCAAAAAGAGAUACCUCAUUUUUUUUUUAAUUUUUUUUAACGUUUUUAUUUAUUUUUGAGACAGAGAGAGACAGAGCAUGAACGAGGGAGGGGCAGAGAGAGAGGGAGACACAGAAUCCGAAGCAGGUUCCAGGCUCUGAGCUGUCAGCACAGAGCCCGACGAGGGGCUCGAACUCACGGACCGCGAGAUCAUGACCUGAGCUGAAGUCGGCCGCUUAACCGACUGAGCCACCCAGGCGCCCCAUACCUCAUUUUUUUGAGGUUAAUGUUAACACUGUAAAGCAAACUUUACCAGUUGCUUAGGAAAAGGAAAUUGUUUUUCCUGGUACUAAGUCUGAAAUUCUUACAUAGGCGUUUAUAAAAGAGGUAUCAAGGGGCGCCUGGGUGGCUCAGUAGGUUAAGCGUUAAGCAUCCAACUCGGGCUCAUGAUCUCGCGGUUUGUGAGUUCGAGCCUCAUGUCGGGCUUUGUGCUGACAGACAGCUCAGAGUUUGGAGCCUGCUUCAGACCCUGUCUCCCUCUCUCUGCUCCACCCCUGCUUGCAUGUGCUCAUGCUCGCUCUCUCUCUCUCUCUCUCUCUCUCAAAAUAAAUAAAUAAACAUUUUUUAAAAAAGGAGAUAUCAAGUAGUAUAGUAAGUAAAUAUAGGGAAUUUUGAAUGUCAUAACUCCUGUUCACAAUUUGGUAAAAUGAUUAUUUAAAGAAUAGCACUGUCAGCAAAAAUACAGUGCAACAAUAAAUAUAAUUAAAAAUUUUCUAGUAGCCACAUUUAAAAAGUAAAAGAAAUGGUUGAAAUUAAUGUUUUUAACCUGAUAUAUAAAAAUAUUAUCAUCUCAGCAUAUAAUUAAAAUAAAAUUAUUAAUGGUAUUUUACAUUUUUUUCAUACCAAGUCUUUGAAAUCUAUUUACAGCACAUUUCAAUUUAGGUGUUAAAUUUUCAUGAGAAAUAAUUCAGUCUGUAGUUAGAUUACAUAAAAUUUACACUGAUAAUUAUCAGUGAAGUAAUAUAAUACUUCAAUAUGAAGUAUAUUAAAUAUGAAUUGGGAAAUACAGCCCCACAGUAGGAAAAAAGAUAGAUGUUAUUGUGAAGCCUAGAACUGCUUCAUUGACACGCAAGCUACUGCGUAAAGCAUCAGCAGUCACAAAACAAAAAACUGAAUUAGGAGUAUGCACGUGUAUCACUGGGUCAGGAGCGAUGACAAAGGCAAAGACAGCAUGUCUUUUCAGGGAAUGGCCAUGUGAUACACAGAGACAGAUUUCAGAAUGAAGAAAGUGGUUUUGUUUUGUUUUAAGUUUAUUUACUUAGCGUGCAUGGGAGGGGCAGAAUGAGAGGGAAAGAGAGAGAAUCCGAGCAGGCUCCGCACUGUCUGUACAGAGCCCAGAGCAGGGCUUGAACUCAGGAACCACGAGAUGAUGACCUGGGCUGAAACCAAGAGUCGGAUGCUUAACCGACUGAGCCACCCAAGCACCCCAAAGAAAGUGCUUUUUUAACGCAAUAUGUAUUUAAGCUAAAGAACUCCUCACUUAGUGUAUAAUGAAGCAAAGAUUUUGGGAUAAUUAAAAACGCAUUAGACUGGGAUCAGUAAAUACAUGGCAUCGUUGCGCUACAGCUUUGCUCCCCCGGCCCCCGAGCCCUACCCGUUGCCCAUGAGAGACGUGGAUAAUUAAUCACAACUCAUGUUAUACUGAGCCCAGAGAUGGCUGUGGAAUCCCUCCUAAUGGAGCAUUUUUGGCAUCUGCUAUAAAUCAGUAGGAAUUGGCAAGAGUAAUACACCCCAUUUUCCAGCCUGGCAUUAGAUAUUUUCUGGUUAUUAUUACUAUUUUUUUCUAAAGUAGACCAAAGUAAAGGUUAGUAUGUCAAUCAGUAUGAAAGAGGAAGUAAGUACCCACUAAUAGAGUAAAGGACUUUUUUCCCUCCAUGACACAGUUUUAUCUAAUUGAAUGACUUGCAUGUAAUUUACUAACAGACGAUACAAUCUGCUAAUUAGGAUGCACACCAGGUUAUUCUAGAAUGGGUCCAUAUUUUCCCACAUUUUAUAAAUUUUUAUAACUGUAUAAUGUUCCAUCAGCUUGGUCUGCCUAUUUUUCACCUUUUUCUUUUUUUGGAUAUUAAAUCUAUACAUUGUUGGGGUUUUUUAGAAGUAACAUUUUUAUAUGUCAUAGCUUCAUUUCCUCUGCUUCUUUUGUUUUUUUAACAACUUACAUCAAAUGAAUUUAUAGGAGUGGGAUCUAUCAGUAAAAGAGGGGGACCGGUUUUUACAGAUCAUGACUGCUAAUCACCAAAUGACCAUCCAGAAGAGUUUACACCAUCUAAGCUCCUCUUGCUCCUGAACUCUGUCCACCUAUCCGCUAUCAGAGCUUACUCAUUCAUCUAGGGUCUGGAACUUAAACCUCUCCUCAUUCACUUAAUUAGGGCCAGAAGGGGAAAUGAGCUGUAAUUUAAACCUAUCAGUCAUAUUACUUUGUUGGUAUCUUUUGUCAAAUAUAUAGUAGAAGAAAAUGUCAAAAACUGGUAUUUCGAAAGACAUUUUAAAAUUGUGAAAUUCAGGGGCGCCUGGGUGGCUCAGUCGGUUGAGCGUCCGACUUCAGCUCAGGUCAUGAUCUCGCGGUUUGUGGGUUCCUGCCCCGUGUCAGGCUCUGUGCUGACAGCUCAGAGCCUGGGGCCUGCUUCCAAUUCUGUGUCUCCCUCGCUCUCUGCCCCUCCCCCGCUCAUGCUCUGUCUGUCUCUCUCUGUCAGAAAUAAACAAACAUUAAAAAACAUAAAUAAAUAAAAUUGUGAAACUCAGUGAUUUCUCUGUUUGGAUUGACUGUAGGGUGUUUGGAGAAGUAAAACCCUUGUAAGAUCACAAAUACAAACAUGAUAAAGAAUGACUGUUCGGCAGUUGGAUUUUGAAAUAAACUCUUGAAACCUUUAGAUAGUAAUAUAGUCGUUCCUCCCCUUUUGCCCUCAUCCCAGAAUCAUUUUAGGAAUUUUUAUCCUACACCCAUUUAUCCUGCCAUUGUAUAAAAUACUUUUACUCUUUGGACUUUUCUUUCGGUACCCACAGUUGUGGCAAACGUUGUCCUUUAAGAUUUGGUCUUAUUUUGAAAGCAAGCAAAAGUCAUUCAAAACAAAGUCUGAAAUAAAAUGAUGAUAAACUCUAUAGUCUUUGUAUAUGGAAGGAAAUAAAAUAAAAUACAGUAGUGUAAUUUAUUGAGUUUAAAUACCAUCAAAACAUUUUUACUUACCCAUAGAAUAUCUUUAGUUAUUCUUAUUUCAAAUGGUUUGAAAUAUCCUUUUUUGCUGUGUAGUUUAACCCAUGAAGUUACUCGUUGCCUUGGAUUUCUCCAAAAUGUGGUCUUGAUGAUUCAACAGAUUAAAGUGCUUAGUCUAGUGUUUCUCAACCAAGAUGAUACUGCCCCCCUAGGAGACAUUUGGCAAUGUCUGGGGACAUUUUUUUGUUGCCAUUACUUCCUAGAGGGUGAGGUGCCACUGGCAUUUAGUAGAGAGAGAGACUAGGGAUGAUACUACACAGCCUCCAGUGCACAAAACAGCCCCUCACAGCACAAAAUUGUCCAUUCUAAAAUCUUCAGUCAUGCCGAGGUUAAGAAACCCUAUCUCA